GACGAACGCUGGCGGCGCGCUUAACACAUGCAAGUCGAGCGAAGCGGCGGACGGGUGAGUAACACGUGAGUAACCUGCCUUAGACAUUGGGAUAGCCUCAGGAAACCUGGAUUAAUACCAAAUGUUCUAAGAUGGACUCGCGUCCCAUUAGCUAGUUGGUGGGUAACGGCCCACCAAGGCGACGAUGGGUAGACGGCCCGAGAGGGUGAAAGGUGACAGUGGAACUGAGAAACGGUCCAAACUCUACGGGAGGCAGCAGUGGGGGAUAUUGCACAAUGGAGGGAACUCUGAGGCAGCGACGCCGCGUGAACGAAGAAGGCUGUCGAGUCGUAAAGUUCUUUUAUAUGGGAAGCGGUACCAUAAGAAAAAGCCCCGGCUAACUACGUGCCAGCAGCCGCGGUAAUAC
rnacentral:rRNA from 1 species